AAUAAAAGUUUACAAGACUUAACCUCUGCAACCUGGCCACCCAGAGAAGGCAUUGGCGCCCUACAAAGUUCUGUGGAAACCAGCUAUCAUCCAAUGCUUUAGGCAACCAAUUCUGGUCAGUGACAAGGCUGGGACCCCAGCCCCACAUUGUGCCAGGGAAGGAGUUGGUGCUUUAUCAGCUGUGAAGGUUGAUAGUGUGCUUUCUAUAUAAUGAAGUUUCCGUUACAAAGCUUGAAUUCCAACUUCAGCACCCCACCAUUGAAGACUUCAAACAGCAAGUGGAUAUAGUCAAGUUGAAGAUUUUUCUCUGAAAUUGUUUAAGUAGCAAGAAAACUGGCCGUCUAAAUCACAAAAUCAGCAAAACAAAAAGUGUCAUUGAAAUAGCCCAAUGAUUGAAUUGUUACUGCUUACUGGAGCUGGGAGUACGGUUUGGAAAGACACUUCUAUAAAAGACGAAGUUGGUUGUACUUCCCAUGAAACCAUUACUUGAAGACACAUGUUUGCAUAAUAGCAAUGAGA